UUAAUGCGUAGAUGCACACUGUAUUUAUCCAAAUAUGGUUAUUCUUGGUAGAUAAAAGUGAAGUACAUCAGAUUAUAGUGUGCCCGGGAUUCGAUAAUUCAGUAGCUCCCCCACGCAACCCUGUAUACGGGGCUGAUGCAUGGUUAUGUUUGGGAUGUUCUGUGUGUUAAAAGACCCACUUGGUUUCGAGUAUGUGAUAACAAACAUGAGUAUGAACCUGAUUGGUGGCAGACAAUCUAGCACAGUAAUAAAAUGGCGUAGGUCUAGCGGAGAGAAUGAACUACCGCAACAAGUCAUUCCAUGAUCCGGGUAGGUCUAGCGGAGAGAAUGUGUGCUUCAAAUGAAAUGGCAUCGAGCACACAGCAGAUGGCAUGCUGCUAUAAUCAGACUGACCUGGCCCAUGUGCAUCCUUGGCAGGAUCGGCUCCUGGAUACAUCCUGAGAUUAAACAGAUUGGCCGACUGAAAUGUGUUUUUAUCAAAGUUUUGAAAUGCUUGCAUAGUGGCACACUCAAUUAUAGGGCCUAACUAAUCUGCACGUCUUCCCGUUGAUGAUCAUACUUCAGCAGUCCUAUUAUUUGUUCUGCUCCAGUAUCUCAAAUUAAUAUCAUAUCAGCUUUUCUAAAAAAAAGAGGAAAAUAAUACGAACAGCUUAAGAAUAGUAAUACAGAAGGAGACCAU
rnacentral:lncRNA from 1 species